AUUGAACGCUGGCGGCAUGCUUUACACAUGCAAGUCGGACGGCAGCACAGAGAAGCUUGCUUCUUGGGUGGCGAGUGGCGAACGGGUGAGUAAUAUAUCGGAACGUACCGAGUAAUGGGGGAUAACUAAUCGAAAGAUUAGCUAAUACCGCAUAUUCUCUGAGGAGGAAAGCAGGGGACCUUCGGGCCUUGCGUUAUUCGAGCGGCCGAUAUCUGAUUAGCUAGUUGGUGGGGUAAAGGCCUACCAAGGCGACGAUCAGUAGCGGGUCUGAGAGGAUGAUCCGCCACACUGGGACUGAGACACGGCCCAGACUCCUACGGGAGGCAGCAGUGGGGAAUUUUGGACAAUGGGCGCAAGCCUGAUCCAGCCAUGCCGCGUGUCUGAAGAAGGCCUUCGGGUUGUAAAGGACUUUUGUCGGGGAAGAAAAGGCUGUUGCUAAUAUCGACAGCUGAUGACGGUACCUGAAGAAUAAGCACCGGCUAACUACGU
rnacentral:rRNA from 1 species